rnacentral:tRNA from 1 species
GGGGAUUUAGCUCAGUGGCUUGAGCACCUGCCUGGCGAGCAUGAAGUUGAAGGUUCAAUUCCUA